CAGCUGGCAACGGUUGGGUCUGAAGGAAGCAAUAGGAAGUGAACAGCACAUAGCGAAAGCGAACCUGAUACGGCACAACAGGGGUGGUAAGCGUGCAAAAUAGCGCGAAGCCCGAAACCUGAACAGACCUGUAGUGUGUUUGAGGAUGGCGUUGUUUACAGGGACUGC
rfam:Salinispira pacifica strain L21-RPul-D2, complete genome.